rnacentral:tRNA from 1 species
GCCCUCGUAGCUCAAUUGGUGGAGCAGGCGAUUUGUAAUCGCCAGGUUACCCGUUCAAAUCGGGUCGGGGGCUCCA